rnacentral:misc_RNA from 1 species
ACUAACUACACAACAACAGCAACAGCAAAUUAACGAAGAGCCUAGGCAUUUACAUUGACAGUAGUUAAUGAUAUAUUUUCCCCUAAGAAGACGAGAGAUAACUAGAAAACAAGUUAAUCUAAAGGCUCCAUGGACCUGGAAACCCAUCCCAAUUAAACCCCUCUUCACCCAUUGUAGCAAUUCCAACAUCACUACUUCCCAAGAACUCAGUUUCAAUACCAAACUCUGGCCAAUACAUAAUAUCCAUUCCCUCAAUUACACCUAUACCUGAACCUGAACCUGAACUCUCACUACUAAUUGCACCACGCCUGGAAUCUUGUUGUGAUGAGAAACUUGUAGCACUUGCCAAUUCACUGCUGCAGCAGGUACCAAUAGUAUCAUUGCCAAGUUCUUGACAUUUUGUGGAUGAAGUGUUGGCAGGAGGAGUAGUUGCUGAUGAUAUCUGGUAGUAGUUUGGCAAGUUAAGGGUAGCAGAAGAGCCAUAGAGCUAAAGGGCAGCCUGAUCAUAGGCUUUAGCAGCUUCAUGGGAAGUGUUGAAAUUGCCUAACCAAAUUCUGUUGCCUCUAUUUGGUUCUCCGAUUUCAGCCACCCAUUUCCCCCAAGUCCUUUGCCUCGCUCCUCUGUAGGUGCAUAGUGCAUUCUCUGGGCCUCCUUUGCCCUUCAUGCACCCUUUUCUUGAUCUUCUCAUUGAGGGUUUCUUGUCCUUUGCUUCUCUUUCCAUGGUAAUUGUGAUAUUAUCUCCG